GAUAGCCUACGGGACGCAGCAGUGGGGAAUAUUGCACAAUGGGGGAAACCCUGAUGCAGCGACGCCGCGUGAGUGAAGAGGUAUUUCGGUACGUAAAGCUCUAUCAGCAGGGAAGAAAGAAAGUCCUUUGGACGUUGGACGGUACCUGACCAAGAAGCCCCGGCUAACUACGUGCCAGCAGCCGCGGUAAUACGUAGGGGGCAAGCGUUAUCCGGAUUUACUGGGUGUAAAGGGAGCGUAGACGGCAGCGCAAGUCUGGAGUGAAAUGCCGGGGCCCAACCCCGGAACUGCUUUGGAAACUGUGC
rnacentral:rRNA from 1 species